UCUCAUCAGAUCUUAGCUGAGGAACUAACUAUGACAUCUGUUUUUGUAAUGGGCCCCAAAGUCUGCCAGUAAGAUGUAGGGCUUCGGGUCUACUCCGAGUACAAAUGUUUGGCCUGAAUUAAGGAAGACACUGUGUUUCCUUUAAGGAGCGCUUAAAAUGGCAUCUCUGGUCCUUGAUUUUGAAGUUUGUUUCUUUAAAAGGAACUGAGUGUUGGCCAUUCAUGUGUGGUUAAGCCUGAACGCCGAAGACAAGAAUAUAAUAGUCAUACACGAUAAAAGACCCCGUUCCCUCUGCAGCUUCUUCUUAAAGCUCCCUGCGGAGAAGAAUCCAGGACCACCUCCGGCUCAGACAGUUGGGGAAAGCGGGCUGAAGAAUUGGCCGGAGUGAUUUAGACGAGGGUGCUGCAGGAUGGGUUGAGUUGUGUCUUAGUCCAUCUAUAUGACUGUGACAGAAUGCCCUGGGCUGAGUAACUUAUGAACAAUAGAGAUGGAUUCAGCUCGAGGUGACAGUCAGAGGGACAGCUUUCAGGAGUCAGCUCUCUCCGGCUGUCUGGUGUACAUAAAGCAAGCACAAGAUAAUGUCAAUGAUUUUUUAGUUCUUCCUUAGGUGGAAAAAAACAACUAAAAAUGUAUCACUUCCUAAGGACAUUUAUCUUUUUACAAAGAUCAGACACGAAAGCCUAAUGCAGGUAAAAAUCCCCAAUGUGGACCUGAAACAAAAUAUAAAAUGUCCCUGCCUGAGACUAGCUUUCAAGGUGCCAUCCAUCCUCUAAGGGAGGGAAGCAACCAGUAUCCCGUCCCAGCGAAGAGUGUCUAGGAACCAAAAUAAUGAUCAGCUAUGGGGCUAUAUUCCUAAGGGUACAAGAGUGGUGUGCGUGCCUUGUGGUAGCCAGCAGCUUUUUAAUUGGACUAAAGACCCACACACUAAGAGGGAAAUCAAGCCUUGAACUGGAGACCUAGCGAACUACCAAAGUGACUACGAGGUGCUGAGACCCCGCUGAUACCCGGGUCCGGUACCUACGGCUCCGUGAUCACAGUAGGAGGAGGAGCGGGAAGACUGCAACAGCCCAAG
rnacentral:lncRNA from 1 species